GAUGAACGCUGACAGAAUGCUUAACACAUGCAAGUCGAUGGGGAAGUGGUGCUUGCACCCUGGCAACCAUGGCGGACGGGUGAGUAACGCGUAAGGGACUUACCUGCAGGACUGGGAUAACAGGGGGAAACUCCUGACAAGACCGGAUAAUGUCAUGGAGCUGCCUGGCUUUAUGAUGAAAGGAGACGCCUGCGGAGAGCCUUGCGUCCUAUUAGCUAGUUGGUGAGGUAAUGGCUCAACAAGGCGAAGAUAGGUAGCCGGCCUGAGAGGGUGGACGGCCACAAGGGGACUGAGAUACGGCCCUUACUCCUACGGGAGGCAGCAGUGGGGAAUAUUGGACAAUGGGGGCAACCCUGAUCCAGCAAUUCUGUGUGCACGAAGAAGGUUUUCGGAUUGUAAAGUGCUUGCAGCAGGGAAGAAGUAAGUGACGGUACCUGCAGAAGAAGCGACGGCUAAAUACGUG
rnacentral:rRNA from 1 species